AUUGAACGCUGGCGGCAUGCCUUACACAUGCAAGUCGAACGGCAGCACGGGGGCAACCCUGGUGGCGAGUGGCGAACGGGUGAGUAAUGCAUCGGAACGUACCCGGAAGUGGGGGAUAACGUAGCGAAAGUUACGCUAAUACCGCAUAUUCUGUGAGCAGGAAAGAGGGGGAUCGCAAGACCUCUCGCUUUCGGAGCGGCCGAUGUCGGAUUAGCUAGUUGGUGGGGUAAAGGCUUACCAAGGCGACGAUCCGUAGCGGGUCUGAGAGGAUGAUCCGCCACACUGGGACUGAGACACGGCCCAGACUCCUACGGGAGGCAGCAGUGGGGAAUUUUGGACAAUGGGGGCAACCCUGAUCCAGCCAUGCCGCGUGAGUGAAGAAGGCCUCGG
rnacentral:rRNA from 1 species